rnacentral:rRNA from 1 species
UACGGAGGAUCCUAGUGUUAUCCGGAUUUAUUGGGUUUAAAGGGAGCGUAGGCGGGAGGUCAAGUCAGCUGUGAAAUGUAUCUGCUUAACGGGUACACUGCAGUUGAAACUGGUUUUCUUGAGUGCGUAAGAGGCAGGCGGAAUUCGUUGUGUAGCGGUGAAAUGCUUAGAUAUGACGAGGAACUCCUAUUGCGAAGGCAGCUUGCUGGGUCGUUACUGACGCUGAUGCUCGAAGAUGCGGGGAUCAAACAGGAUUAGA